rnacentral:rRNA from 1 species
UGCAAGUCGAGCGGAUUGAUGGGAGCUUGCUCCCUGAGUCAGCGGCGGACGGGUGAGUAACACGUGGGUAACCUGCCUGUAAGACUGGGAUAACUCCGGGAAACCGGGGCUAAUACCGGAUAGUUCUUUUCCUCGCAUGAGGAAAAGUGGAAAGGCGGCUUCGGCUGCCACUUACAGAUGGACCCGCGGCGCAUUAGCUAGUUGGUGAGGUAACGGCUCACCAAGGCAACGAUGCGUAGCCGACCUGAGAGGGUGAUCGGCCACACUGGGACUGAGACACGGCCCAGACUCCUACGGGAGGCAGCAGUAGGGAAUCUUCCGCAAUGGACGAAAGUCUGACGGAGCAACGCCGCGUGAGUGAUGAAGGUUUUCGGAUCGUAAAGCUCUGUUGUUAGGGAAGAACAAGUGCCGUUCGAAUAGGGCGGCACCUUGACGGUACCUAACCAGAAAGCCACGGCUAACUACGUGCCAGCAGCCGCGGUAAUACGUAGGUGGCAAGCGUUGUCCGGAAUUAUUGGGCGUAAAGCGCGCGCAGGCGGUCUCUUAAGUCUGAUGUGAAAGCCCACGGCUCAACCGUGGAGGGUCAUUGGAAA